AUAGUGAUUAUUUCACCAAGUAUUAUUGAACUUGCACUUUAAAUAGCAGUUUUAAAGCGCUUUGGGAAACGUAGAGAAGGCUAUUAUGGAAUUUGACUCUGCAACCUGUCAAGAACCAGCGGAGGCCGUUUCUCAGUGUGUAGAGCUGCAGCAGUGAAAGCCACAGCUCCGUCAGCUGGACCUCAUUUGACACGAGUGGAUUAGAAGGAAAACUUUGACUGUGACUCAGCUGAGCCUCAAUCCGCCCUGCAUGAGACUGUAACGCAGAAUGACUGUGGGGCACAGUGUUCGCCAAGAAGCAUCAGAGGUCAGUUUGAGUUUCUCUUAAUUUCAUUCCGGAGGACGCUAUCUCAACACCAGUGUCAGAUGGCAGGACCCGCUGCAGAGAUGUUCUUUUUAAAUGAGCAGCGAAAUGAAAUUCCGCAUCAUUAGUGGACGGCGGAGCCUGAAGAGGAAGAGGAAGAGGAAGAGGAGCUGGAGAAGGAGAAGGGCUACAGCAUGAGAGUCUCUGCACCUACAUCGAUGCUUCCCCACAACUGGAAUGAAAAUGGUCGGCUGCAGUGUCUUACCGAGCAACGUUUGUUCUUCAGGCCGAAACUCUUUGUGUGCAGAGAGCGUCCUCGCCUCUCUUUGAUGCAAAGAUCAAACUCGACGUACAGUGACCUUUUUUCUCACACUUGCUGCAUGAAUUGUGUUUCGACACUGCUGUUUUUUUCCAAGGGAACAACAAGGACUCAUGUUAAUAUUAAAAGUGCCAAGGUUGAUGUUUAAAAAUAGCUUCAUGAGCCUAUUUUAUUGCAAAACCAGAAGGAAAAAAGAAGCGUAUUUAUUUUGUAAUUUUGUACAUUGUGUUUUGGAAGUUAUUGUCAAUGUUGCUGUUUAGGUGCCAUUUGUGAGACACCCUCCUCACAAGUCGCCUGUGUUGCACAAAAUGUGAUAAAUAGAAGCAUGGUAGCCAAAAGCAUGCAAAGGCUGUACCAGCACCACAGAAUCAAUAUUUAUAACUUACUAAUGGAAGGAAAAAUACACCAAUUUACUUAUUCAUUCUAACCUAUUCAUUAGGGAUAAUUUAGCUUUUCUCUCACUGUAAUUUCCAUAUAUUAGUUUUGAUCUCUAUUUGCAUGUUACCCCAUUGUUGUGCACACAAUUAAUUAAUUUUACUAUCACAAAGAAUAACAGGGCAGUGGGUUCCUGCACAUUUCUGUCAUAAUGAGCGCUAAUAAAACUUUGUACUUCAA